GUGCUGCCAAAGCAAGGACAGAUAGUUAGUUGAGUGCCGACUAGAGCUCCUGCAAUCGAGGCUGGCCAUGGAAGGGAGGCGAUGCCACCUCAGUUCCAAGAUCUCUAGUCGGCACUCAAUUAUCUUUCUUUGCCAGUUC